GGUAUCAGAAGUGCGAAUGCUGACAUAAGUAACGAUAAAGCGGGUGAAAAGCCCGCUCGCCGGAAGACCAAGGGUUCCUGUCCAACGUUAAUCGGGGCAGGGUGAGUCGACCCCUAAGGCGAGGCCGAAAGGCGUAGUCGAUGGGAAACGGGUUAAUAUUCCCGUACUUGGUGUUACUGCGAAGGGGGGACGGAGAAGGCUAUGUUGGCCGGGCGACGGUUGUCCCGGUUUAAGCGUGUAGGUGUGUGUUCCAGGUAAAUCCGGUUCACUUUAACACUGAGGCGUGAUGACGAGGCACUACGGUGCUGAAGCAACAAAUGCCCUGCUUCCAGGAAAAGCCUCUAAGCAUCAGGUAACAUCAAAUCGUACCCCAAACCGACACAGGUGGUCAGGUAGAGAAUACCAAGGCGCUUGAGAGAACUCGGGUGAAGGAACUAGGCAAAAUGGUGCCGUAACUUCGGGAGAAGGCACGCUGACACGUAGGUGAAGUGAUUUACUCACGGAGCUGAAGUCAGUCGAAGAUACCAGCUGGCUGCAACUGUUUAUUAAAAACACAGCACUGUGCAAACACGAAAGUGGACGUAUACGGUGUGACGCCUGCCCGGUGCCGGAAGGUUAAUUGAUGGGGUCAGCGCAAGCGAAGCUCCUGAUCGAAGCCCCGGUAAACGGCGGCCGUAACUAUAACGGUCCUAAGGUAGCGAAAUUCCUUGUCGGGUAAGUUCCGACCUGCACGAAUGGCGUAAUGAUGGCCAGGCUGUCUCCACCCGAGACUCAGUGAAAUUGAACUCGCUGUGAAGAUGCAGUGUACCCGCGGCAAGACGGAAAGACCCCGUGAACCUUUACUAUAGCUUGACACUGAACAUUGAGCCUUGAUGUGUAGGAUAGGUGGGAGGCUUUGAAGUGUGGACGCCAGUCUGCAUGGAGCCGACCUUGAAAUACCACCCUUUAAUGUUUGAUGUUCUAACGUGGACCCGUAAUCCGGGUUGCGGACAGUGUCUGGUGGGUAGUUUGACUGGGGCGGUCUCCUCCUAAAGAGUAACGGAGGAGCACGAAGGUUGGCUAAUCCUGGUCGGACAUCAGGAGGUUAGUGCAAUGGCAUAAGCCAGCUUGACUGCGAGCGUGACGGCGCGAGCAGGUGCGAAAGCAGGUCAUAGUGAUCCGGUGGUUCUGAAUGGAAGGGCCAUCGCUCAACGGAUAAAAGGUACUCCGGGGAUAACAGGCUGAUACCGCCCAAGAGUUCAUAUCGACGGCGGUGUUUGGCACCUCGAUGUCGGCUCAUCACAUCCUGGGGCUGAAGUAGGUCCCAAGGGUAUGGCUGUUCGCCAUUUAAAGUGGUACGCGAGCUGGGUUUAGAACGUCGUGAGACAGUUCGGUCCCUAUCUGCCGUGGGCGCUGGAGAACUGAGGGGGGCUGCUCCUAGUACGAGAGGACCGGAGUGGACGCAUCACUGGUGUUCGGGUUGUCAUGCCAAUGGCACUGCCCGGUAGCUAAAUGCGGAAGAGAUAAGUGCUGAAAGCAUCUAAGCACGAAACUUGCCCCGAGAUGAGUUCU
rnacentral:rRNA from 1 species